GAGUCUCCACUUCCUCAUGUGCUGGAUGGAGAAGAGCAGAACGAGAGCCUGAAGGAGGCCGUCUGCACCUGCUCAUUCCAGAACCCAGGCUUCUCAACUGACGCCAAGGAACACCCGCUGUUAGGUGAUGAGGACACUGAGAGCUGACAUGUGACCCAGGACUCAGAGCCAGGCUCAGGAAGUGAGCUGGGAAAUGCCAGCAGAGGUCCAAGAAGAAGCAUGCUGCCCUCCAUCUGUGGGGCUGCUUCUGCCCUCAGUGGCCAGGGACCCUGUCCACUCCCAACCCCAGGGGUACACAGCAGCAGAAACUGGAAUGGGAAUAGGGAGAGGGGACCAUCUCCUCCAAUUCCCUCAUUUUA